rnacentral:rRNA from 1 species
UGGGGAAUCUUGGACAAUGGGGGCAACCCUGAUCCAGCCAUGCCGCGUGAGUGAUGAAGGCCCUAGGGUCGUAAAGCUCUUUCGCCUGUGAAGAUAAUGACGGUACCUCCUUAGCAAGCACCGGCUAACUCUGUGCCAGCAGCCGCGGUAAUACAGAGGGUGCGAACGUUGCUCGGAUUUACUGGGCGUAAAGCGCGUGUAGGCGGACUCGCAAGUCGGUUGUGAAAUCCCUGGGCUCAACCUAGGAACUGCAUCCGAAACUGCUUGUCUUGAGUAAUGGAGAGGGUGGCGGAAUUCCCGGUGUAGAGGUGAAAUUCGUAGAUAUCGGGAGGAACAUCAGUGGCGAAGGCGGCCACCUGGACAUUUACUGACGCUGAGACGCGAAAGCGUGGGGAGCAAACAGGAUUAGAUACCCGCGUAGUCC